UGGAAAUCGAAACACAGGAAGCAUGAACUGGGGGCCUGAGACCCCAGCAGCAAAGGCAGCUGCUCCAAUCCCAUUGGUACAACUCCAGGACUGUAUCCCUGUCCUAGCACCAACGAGAGCCCAGUUCAGAUCCCCAUUUCACUUUUGAGACUUCUGGUUUACUUGAAUAAACAAAGGUUACAGAAGACUUCUCCAGGCACCAGCAAGGACCAGAAAGAAG
rnacentral:lncRNA from 1 species